UUACGCCCGAGCAGAAAUAUAUCCGCGGACGGAGGCAAACUUUUCUCACGAGAGAGACACGAUUUGCUACUGUAAAAGAGAAUACUAAAUUGAAAGAUUUUAACGUUAGGGGCUGUGACUCGGUCUGCAAACGUCGAGCAGCAGGGAAUCCAUUUGACGUCAUCCGCUAUAUAAAUUUUGUACACCACGCGUCAAACGAGAUCUAUUCUAAUUGUUGCAUAACGGACAUGAUUACGUGUACAAUAAAGCGUGCACUCGCGAAAUUAUAAUGAUGCAUAUUGUAUUAUUCAGAGCGCUUACGCAGAUAACAGUUAUUGGUUACUAUUUAUUAUAAUUACGUUUCAGUCAUUGUCAUUAUUAUCAUAAGUUAUUAAUGACCGAUCGAUUCGUCAUAAUCGGUCGCAUGCAAAUUUAUUUGCUCGAAAGGGAGCAUUUAUUAUCGCCUACGUAUUAUCGCCUGCCUGUCUAUCUAGGACGAAUCCUUAAUUUGAAAACAAUGCACAUAUAUCGACAAUCGAUUGGGAUUAGCCGGAUUUGCAGGUGCACGAGCAAAUCGCCUUCUGCAAGGCAGCCUAAUCAAGAAGGAAUGCAUUCGAUGUUGGUACGCAGCACGAGCUGAUGGGGAACGGUGUUUCACUGCUGCUGGCGGGCGUUCUUAGGGAGUAUUAGUGACCACUCUCCAGAUCACUCAAGAGCCUACCCUACGAAUUUCCGGUCUGAACUACGCGGCUCGUUCCCCCGGCUGGUUCCCACCACUCGUCGUUAAUUCAUCCCCAGUAGAUUGACUAAAGAUACGAGGGAUUCGUCAACUAAUGCGCGCAUUCGACUGCGUAAAGGGAAGAAAUGUUACACCGAAGAGAAGAAGCGAUGAAAACGUACAAGCUUACCGUUUGUCAAUGCCGACAAGAAACCAUCGACUUCUCUUAAGUGGCACGAUGGCCGAGAUGCAAGGCUAACAUAAUCAACCGUACUUUCUCCAAAGACCACGGGAAAUGUUUGCAACCCGGCAGCGUAUUACAAUAAUUGCAAUUUCAGAUAAAACUGAGAUACGACGCAAUAUGUAUACAUACUUGCGAAGGCGAUCAAUCAAAACGCGGAAGUUGUAGUCCGUUUGUAGCAGGUAUGAAUAAUUAAAUACGAAACGAAAACUUAAAUGACUGUAAAUCUGAAGUUACUGGCAUUAGCAAUUAAUUAACAAGCAAUUCUUUAUUUUAAUGACAUUUUAAUUUUAAGAUAGUAUGUUUUAAAAAAAGUGAAUUUUUAAGUACGUACUUGUGAUAAUCGAUAAUGUAUUCAAAUUCAUUCGGAAUGAUAAAAGAAAGGAAAUAGUUUAUCAAAGUUAUAAACGUAUAAGCAGAUAUAAACAUGUACAUAAUGUAUAUAAACGUAUAAGCACGUAUAUAAACAAUGGUGAAAAUUAAUACUGCUAAUUAAUAUAUAAAAUAAUGUUUAUGGAUUAUAUUAUAUGACAAGCUGAAUGUUAAUUGUAGCAUUUAUCUCAAUAACGAUGUACUAAAGCAAAUUGUUAUUGGAGAAUGCAAAUACCGUCGAGGUGUUAAAAAUAUCAUGCAUAAGAUGUAACGCAAUUAUAUUAAUAAAAAUUACGACAAACGCAGCAA